rnacentral:tRNA from 1 species
AAUAGAUUUGUAGGAAAGUUUUCUAAACUUUUUUUGGUUAGAACCGUCUAUUU